rnacentral:rRNA from 1 species
UGCCAGCCGCCGCGGUAAUACGAAGGGGGCUAGCGUUGUUCGGAAUUACUGGGCGUAAAGCGCACGUAGGCGGAUCGUUUAGUCGGGGGUGAAAUCCCGAGGCUCAACCUCGGAACUGCCUCCGAUACUGGCGAUCUUGAGUCCGAGAGAGGUGAGUGGAACUCCGAGUGUAGAGGUGAAAUUCGUAGAUAUUCGGAAGAACACCAGUGGCGAAGGCGGCUCACUGGCUCGGUACUGACGCUGAGGUGCGAAAGCGUGGGGAGCAAACAGGAUUAGAUA